GGCCUGCUCUAUUCAUUAUCCGAAUGUUCAACAUAAAAAGAAAGUUUGCUCCCCUCGAUGGGAUCCCAAACCUUUUUCCUGUAAGCAAUGGAAACUGGUUAAUAAAUGAAACGGUGAUUGAGAGAUCUCAGUGAAAGCAAAAACAAGAAAAGAAUGGUAAAAGUGGGAUCCAACUGACAAAAAUCAUCAUCGGCCCAGAUUGAGAUGGUGACAUUGCAUGAUUCUUAACAACGUACUUUCAUAACUAAUAGUACACUAGCUACUUUCUGAACCCUAAACCCUUCACUCCAAUUAUGUAAAGAUCCUAAUGAACAAAAAAGAAAACAAAAAUUUUUGGAAAGAUCCAAAGUGUUUUCCGCACAUAAGAUUUAAACCAUACGGAACUUACCCAAUCCUUCUAUCUUCUGCACUUGCACAUGAUGCUUUGCCCGUCAGUCUGCUGAAAAAAUAUAUGAAAUAAAUUUGGGACUCUGCCUAUCUGAUGGCAUUCAUGUUUGCCAUAUGAUAUCUCUGCAUCUUCCCUUUAAGAGCUUUGUACCAACACAUCUUGUGUUAAACUAAUAUUGUGUAUGGAGUAUACACCAUCCAAAUCUAAUUUACUACCACCUUACUUGCUUUUCAUACGUUUUAAAGCCUUUAUUUAAC
rnacentral:lncRNA from 1 species